GGGCGGUUAGCUCAGCGGGAGAGCGCCUGCCUUACAAGCAGGAGGUCAGAGGUUCAACUCCUCUACCGCCCACCA
rnacentral:tRNA from 1 species